rnacentral:rRNA from 1 species
GAGCACGCCGCGUGAGUGAUGAAGGCUUUCGGGUCGUAAAACUCUGUUGUUAGGGAAGAACAAGUGCUAGUUGAAUAAGCUGGCACCUUGACGGUACCUAACCAGAAAGCCACGGCUAACUACGUGCCAGCAGCCGCGGUAAUACGUAGGUGGCAAGCGUUAUCCGGAAUUAUUGGGCGUAAAGCGCGCGCAGGUGGUUUCUUAAGUCUGAUGUGAAAGCCCACGGCUCAACCGUGGAGGGUCAUUGGAAACUGGGAGACUUGAGUGCAGAAGAGGAAAGUGGAAUUCCAUGUGUAGCGGUGAAAUAA